UUCAAUUUAAAAGAAAAUGCCCUGUUAUUUCAGGCUCAUUUCACUUCAGGGUCAUAGUUCAAGACCCCAUGGGGUCACGCAAGAAGUUUCAGAACAUUCUGAUGUGGAGUUUCAAAAUAAAAGCCAACCAAGGUUUCCAAUAUGAGACAUAUUACAUAUGAUUUUGGAUUCAAUUUAAAAGAAAAUGCCCUGUUAUUUCAGGCUCAUUUCACUUCAGGGUUAUAGUUCACGACCCCAUGGGGUCACGCAAAAGGUUUCAGAACAUUCUGAUGUGGAGUUUCAAAAUAAAAGCCAACCAAAGUUUCCAAUAUGAGAC
ensembl:lncRNA